rnacentral:rRNA from 1 species
ACGGGAGGCAGCAGUAGGGAAUAUUGCACAAUGGGGGAAACCCUGAUGCAGCGACGCCGCGUGAGUGAUGAAGUAUUUCGGUACGUAAAACUCUAUCAGCAGGGAAGAUAAUGACGGUACCUGACUAAGAAGCCCCGGCUAACUACGUGCCAGCAGCCGCGGUAAUACGUAGGGGGCAAGCGUUAUCCGGAUUUACUGGGUGUAAAGGGAGUGUAGGUGGCCUGGCAAGCCAGAUGUGAAAGCCCGCGGCUCAACCGCGGGACUGCAUUUGAAACUGUUUGGCUUGAGUGCAGGAGAGGAAAGCGGAAUUCCUAGUGGAGCGGUGAAAUGCGUAGAUAUUAGGAGGAACACCAGUGGCGAAGGCGGCUUUCUGGACUGUAACUGACCCUGAGGCUAGAAAGCGUGGGGAGCAAACAGGAUUAGAUACCCUGGUA